ensembl:lncRNA
AGGGCUAAAUGGAGACAAUAGAUAGUGGUGCAGAUCCUACGCCCUGUCUAUGUGAACCAUUAGCCCCUGGUGUGACUAUGGAGGAAAACAUAGAACCGGCGGCAGCGCGGAUAAGAUAAAACGCUCUAGCUUUUCACGAGAAAAAGGCAAAAGGCUCUUCCCUUCAACAGGGACUCUCGUUAUAUAGUUUCAGCCCGUGUAACAUUAAGUGGUUUAAUUAGCUCCAAAGGCAGGUAAAACUGCCAUGGUUAGACAAGGAGAGGGAGAGGAACAAGGAGAGGGACAAGGAGAGGGAGAGACAAGGAGACAGACAAGGAGAGGGUGUAUGUGUGUGUUACUUGUUCCAGUUGUGUGUAGAUGUGUGUCUCUGUGUGUGUUACUUGUUCCAGUUGUAAGUGUGUAGAUAUGUCUCUGUGUAUGUGUGUGUUACUUGUUCCAGUUGUAAGUGUAUGUCUCUGUGUAUGUGUGUGUUACUUGUUCCAGUUGUAAGUGUGUAGAUGUGUGUCUCUGUGUAUGUGUGUGUUACUUGUUCCAGCUGUAAGUGUGUAGAUGUGUCUCUGUGUAUGUGUGUGUUACUUGUUCCAGUUGUAAGUGUGUAGAUGUGUGUCUCUGUGUAUGUGUGUGUUACUUGUUAGAGCUGUAAGUGUGUAGAUGUGUGUCUCUGUGUAUGUGUGUGUUACUUGUUCCAGCUGUAAGUGUGUAGAUGUGUGUCUCUGUGUAUGUGUGUGUUACUUGUUCCAGCUGUAAGUGUGUAGAUGUGUGUCUCUGUGUAUGUGUGUGUUACUUGUUCCAGCAGUAAGUGUGUAGAUGUGUGUCUCUGUGUGUGUGUGUGUUACUUGUUAGAGCUGUAAGUGUGUAGAUGUGUGUCUCUGUGUGUGUGUGUGUUACUUGUUCCAGCUGUAAGUGUGUAGAUGUGUGGUUGUUCAUGUCCCACAGUAAGAUGUCCACAUAAGAGAACCUCUCCUGCGCUGGGCCGCUGUGUCUGCAGACUGAAGCAGCUGUAAAGGAAACUUCACCAAGACCUCCUACAAAAACCAGAAACGUCAUUAGAUAAACUCUUUUUCAUCUUGAUGUUCCUACGAGUUUGGGCGUAUUUAUUCAUCUUAUUAUAUUUGAUCAUUUUGACAUAUUCCUCGUUAUUAGAUCAAGUUUUUAAACCUAGUCUUAGUAUUUCUGCUGCAGAACAUCUGACUUAUUUCUCCAUUUCUAAAAAGAAGCAACAUCAGGUUAAGCUUGAAAACACGCCUGCAAACGUAUUUCAGGGUCAAUAUAAUCAUCGAAUAACGGGAAUAUUCAUCGAACAUUUCCUUCCUACAUUCUCCUUCAUCAAACAGUUUUUAUUUCAACACGAGUUCUUUUAUACCAAGAACCACAAAUGAACAGUUUAUUCUUUUUCUCCAUAAUGAACAUUAUACCUACAAAUCAUUUACUGCACGGGACUAAUGACCCAGUGAUAAAAACAUACACAUCGAAUCAAAUAAAUCUGAUCAUCUCCACGUUCUUCUUCACGGUUCACCGAGAUGGCAGCAGACCAACAUCUUUCACUUGGAGAAUUAACUUAACGAUACAGCUUUACCUCGGACUGUUAAGAAGCGC